UAAUACGGAGGGUGCAAGCGUUAAUCGGAAUUACUGGGCGUAAAGGGUGCGUAGGUUGUUGUAUAAGUUAUCUGUGAAAUUCCUGGGCUCAACCUGGGACGGUCAGAUAAGACUGUAUAACUCGAGUAUGGGAGAGGGUAGUGGAAUUUCCGGUGUAGCGGUGAAAUGCGUAGAGAUCGGAAGGAACACCAGUGGCGAAGGCGGCUACCUGGCCUAAUACUGACACUGAGGCACGAAAGCGUGGGGAGCAAACAGG
rnacentral:rRNA from 1 species